CGGGACCCCGCGCCGCCCGCCCCCGCGCCCUCCGCCCCGGCGUGCGAGGCGCCGCGCCCUCCCGCUGCCCUGCCCGGUGCAUGGAGGGGUCCGUUCGGAUCGCAGCCGCCGCCGCCGCCGUAGCCGCCGCCAGCGCGCGGGGGAUGACCUGGGGGUGGCUUUCGGAGCCGGCUGCCGCGCAGGAGGUCUGGGGGCUUAGCCAGCCUCGCUGAGAGGUGGCUUGACUGUGCAUGGAAGGAAUUAAGUUCAUUUUAAGAAAGGACACCCCCCCCCCCACCGUCCCAUCUGUAAGGUAUAUGUAAAGAGGAAGUCUUUAUGUUGGAGUAAGAACUUCUGCCAUAGGGCUGGGCUCCAAGAAUUUCAGCAGGGGCGAUGAGAUCUCUUGAUCCCCGAAGCGGCUCCAAGACCCUGGGAAUUCCAUUAGCGAGCACCUGAGGAAUUUCUGCCCUGCAGUGCCUUUUUUGUAUGUGUGUAUGUGUGUGUGUG
ensembl:lncRNA